rnacentral:rRNA from 1 species
GAGUAAUGGGGGAUAACGCACCGAAAGGUGUGCUAAUACCGCAUACGCCCUGAGGGGGAAAGUGGGGGAUCGUAAGACCUCACGUUAUUCGAGCGGCCGACGUCUGAUUAGCUAGUUGGUGAGGUAAUGGCUCACCAAGGCGACGAUCAGUAGCGGGUCUGAGAGGAUGAUCCGCCACACUGGGACUGAGACACGGCCCAGACUCCUACGGGAGGCAGCAGUGGGGAAUUUUGGACAAUGGGGGCAACCCUAAUCCAGCCAUUCCGCGUGUGAAGAAGGCCUUCGGGUUGUAAAGCUCUUUCAGCAGGAACGAAACGGUGCGCUCUAACAUAGCGUGCUAAUGACGGUACCUGCAGAAGAAGCACCGGCUAACUACGUGCCAGCAGCCGCGGUAAUACGUAGGGUGCGAGCGUUAAUCGGAAUUACUGGGCGUAAAGCGUGCGCAGGCGGAUUGUUAAGCAAGACGUGAAAUCCCCGGGCUUAACCUGGGAAUGGCGUUUUGAACUGGCAGUCUAGAGUGUGUCAGAGGGGGGUGGAAUUCCACGUGUAGCAGUGAAAUGCGUAGAGAUGUGGAGGAACACCGAUGGCGAAGGCAGCCCCCUGGGAUAACACUGACGCUCAUGUACGAAAGCGUGGGUAGCAAACAGGAUUAGAUACCCUGGUAGUCCACGCCCUAAACGAUGUCAACUGGUUGUUGGGGGAGUGAAAUCCCUUAGUAACGAAGCUAACGCGUGAAGUUGACCGCCUGGGGAGUACGGUCGCAAGAUUAAAACUCAAAGGAAUUGACGGGGACCCGCACAAGCGGUGGAUGAUGUGGAUUAAUUCGAUGCAACGCGAAAAACCCUACCUACCCUUGACAUGUCCAGAAUCCUGCAGAGAUGCGGGAGUGCCCGAAAGGGAAUUGGAACACAGGUGCUGCAUGGCUGUCGUCAGCUCGUGUCGUGAGAUGUUGGGUUAAGUCCCGCAACGAGCGCAACCCUUAUCAUUAGUUGCUACGCAAGGGCACUCUAAUGAGACUGCCGGUGACAAACCGGAGGAAGGUGGGGAUGACGUCAAGUCCUCAUGGCCCUUAUGGGUAGGGCUUCACACGUCAUACAAUGGUCGGUACAGAGGGUUGCCAAGCCGCGAGGUGGAGCCAAUCCCAGAAAGCCGAUCGUAGUCCGGAUUGUUCUCUGCAACUCGAGAGCAUGAAGUCGGAAUCGCUAGUAAUCGCGGAUCAGCAUGUCGCGGUGAAUACGUUCCCGGGUCUUGUACACACCGCCCGUCACACCAUGGGAGUGGAAUCUGCCAGAAGUAGGUAGCCUAACCGCAAGGGGGGCGCUUACCACGGUGGGUUUCAUGACUG